GGCAGAGAGGGGUGUGCUCUGAGGCACCAUAGCAGCACCACAGCAGUGAAGGGAGGAGUGCCAUCUACACCUCCUGCACGUCUUCACUGAGAGAAGCAAAGGAGGGAGAAGGAGAGAAGGAGAUUUCCGUUCACAUUGCCCGAGUUUUCCAAAGGACAUCAUCUAUCUCAAACCUCUGUCGCAGCACCGAAUUCCUCCAGAGGAAACUUUGAACUCAGCCAUGGAGCAGAAGAUGAAUGAGUGCCCCACCACCACCUCUCCUCAGAAGUACAUGAAGAACCGGUCCAAAUCCACAGAGGAGAUUCAACAGACAAAGAAGGCCUUUUCCUCACAGAAAUCCCUCCCAGGUAGACCGGAGCUGGACAAAGUCAAGGAGGGGCCCGAUGGCUCUGAGACGCCCUCGUCCUCCACCGAGGAGCUGAAGUGACGGUGGCAUCCAACCACCAGAUGAUCAUAAAACCAACAUGCAUAAAAUGUACAUAUCUGCACAGGGACACACACACGCACAACACAAACAAACAACACUGAGAAGAGCGUAGGAGUGCAGUAAAUUGGAAAAUGCACAAACAGUGAAUCUGUCGUCAGUUGAAAGAAAGAAAUUGGGCAAACAUGGGCUCUUACACACACACACACACACACACACACACACACACUGAGACAAUCACACAUGAACAAAGAGACACACAUGAUGAUGCUGUUCCAUUGUACUGUGAGUGUUGUAUACACACCAAGCUGAAUGUGCAAUGACAAUAAAUUAAUGCUAUUGAGUGU